rnacentral:rRNA from 1 species
AGGAAGGUAGUGUAGUUAACACCUGCAUUAUUGACGUUACCUACAGAAGAAGCACCGGCUAACUCCGUGCCAGCAGCCGCGGUAAUACGGGAGGGUGCGAGCGUUAAUCGGAAUUACGUGGGACGUAAAGCGCAUGCAGGCGGCCUAGUUAAGUCAGAUGUAGAAACGGCCCGGGGUACUUAACCGUACGGUAAUUGCUAUUUAGAAACGUGGCGAGGCUAGAGUCUUGUAGAGGGGGUAGAAUUUCAGGUGUAGCGGUGAAAUGCGUAGAGAUCUGAAGGAAUACCAGUGGCGAAGGCGGCCCCCUGGACAAAGACUGACGCUCAGAUGCGAAAGCGUGGGGAGCAAACAGGAUUAGAUACCCUGGUAG